rnacentral:ncRNA from 1 species
CCCUGAAAAAUAAACGCUUCAGAUACUUAGCUUUGGAGAGCACAGCCGACAUGACAGCAGAGGAAGCCGAAAAGAAAUCAAACCUGUUAUCAAAUUUUCAAGGGGUAAGAAGCCCAGCUGGUUGGCUUGGAGCCAGGCAUGGAAUCCAAGUGCCUAGUGGACUACUUUCGGUAAGUAGAACUGGCAGUGUGGGAUGAACUAAACACCUGGUUAAGGCACUUAACGCCAAAGCUCAUCAGACCGGGGAAAAGGUUUUGCUUGAUAUAGACAGCAGGACAGUGGCCUUAGAAGUCGGAAUCCACUAAGGUGUGAGUAACAACUCACCUACCCAUUCAACCAUCCCUGAAAAUGUAUGGUGGUGGAGCCUCAGGCCCUCCUGGCAAUGGGUGCAAAGCAGGAACAGAAACAUGUUGUUUCCCUGGAAGGG